CGAUUCAGAAUAGAAUGUGAUGUGGUGGACGCUUUCCUUCCUUCCCCUUCUCCCAUGUUUAUAGGCAGAGGUCACUACAGAGUCAGCCGUCGUGGUUUCUGACAAGCCUUUUCCAGCUCUGCAGUCCAGAGAUCCUGAAUACGAUCAUCUUCUCUAUGCCAAAAGAUGGAGCAUCAGGGUAGAAGGAGAAAUUCUUAGAGGAAGCAGGAAAGAGGAGUCCAAGUUGACCACUGGAUGUGAUUUUCUCCUAAUAAUGGUGCCCAAACUUCUUUUUCACCAUGGCUGAGUGGCCAUCCGCAAAAUCUCCAACCUAAGAGACGGUUUCAUCUACUUCAGGCAAAACUGACAGUGUGAAAAUGCUGGGGUCACUGAGCAAAUUCACUCCAGCCUGUGCUGACUGAGACUUACAUCUUACAAUUAAGCAGUGUUUUGUCCUGCUUUACAAAUCAGUAGUUUCCUUAUUGCUUAACAUAAAUACAUCUUAUCAAAAGGAAAAACAAAAUCUUCAUAAAAUAAUAAAACUAUACAAUGCUACUUGA